rfam:Neotoma lepida isolate 417 scaffold_65, whole genome shotgun sequence.
GGAGAGAUGGCUCAGUGGUUAAGAGCACUGGCUGCUCUCCCAGAGGGCCUGGGUUUGAUUCCCAGCACCC